UGGGGAAUUUUGGACAAUGGGCGCAAGCCUGAUCCAGCCAUGCCGCGUGUCUGAAGAAGGCCUUCGGGUUGUAAAGGACUUUUGUCAGGGAAGAAAAGGCUGUUGCUAAUAUCGACAGCUGAUGACGGUACCUGAAGAAUAAGCACCGGCUAACUACGUGCCAGCAGCCGCGGUAAUACGUAGGGUGCGAGCGUUAAUCGGAAUUACUGGGCGUAAAGCGAGCGCAGACGGUUACUUAAGCAGGAUGUGAAAUCCCCGGGCUCAACCUGGGAACUGCGUUCUGAACUGGGUGACUAGAGUGUGUCAGAGGGAGGUAGAAUUCCACGUGUAGCAGUGAAAUGCGUAGAGAUGUGGAGGAAUACCGAUGGCGAAGGCAGCCUCCUGGGAUAACACUGACGUUCAUGCUCGAAAGCGUGGGUAGCAAACA
rnacentral:rRNA from 1 species